rnacentral:rRNA from 1 species
CCUACGGGAGGCAGCAGUAGGGAAUAUUGUUCAAUGGGGGAAACCCUGAUGCAGCAACGCCGCGUGGAGGAUGAAGGUCUUCGGAUUGUAAACUCCUUUCGUUGGAGAAGAUAAUGACGGUAUCUAACGAAUAAGCACCGGCUAACUCCGUGCGAGCAGGCGCGGUAAUACGGAGGGUGCAAGCCUUAGUCGUAACGACUGGGCGUAAAGAGAGCGUAGGCGGGAUAGCAAGUCAGAUGUGAAAUCCUAGGGCUUAACCAUAGAACUGCAUUUGAAACUGGUAUUCUAGAGUAUGGGAGAGGUAGGUAGAAUUCUUGGUGUAGGGGUAAAAUCCGUAGAGAUCAAGAGGAAUACUCAUUGCGAAGGCGACCUGCUAGAACAUAACUGACGCUGAUGCGCGAAAGCGUGGGGAGCAAACAGGAUUAGAUACCCCUGUAGUC